rnacentral:rRNA from 1 species
CCAAUAGCGUAUAUUAAAGUUGUUGCAGUUAAAAAGCUCGUAGUUGAACUUCGGGAUCAAGGGAUCGGUCAUGCCUUGGUAUGUACUGGUCUUAUUGGUUCUCACCUUCUAAAGAACCAUAAUGUCAUUCAUUUGAUGUUAUGGGGAAUUAGGACUGUUACCUUGAAAAAAUUAGAGUGUUUAAAGCAGGCUUACGCUUGAAUACAUUAGCAUGGAAUAACGGAAUAGGACGUUUGAUUCUAUUUUGUUGGUCUCUAGGAUCGACGUAAUGAUUAAUAGGGAUAGUUGGGGGCAUUAGUAUUCAAUUGUCAGAGGUGAAAUUCUUGGAUUUAUUGAAGACUAACUACUGCGAAAGCAUUUGCCAAGGAUGUUUUCAUUAAUCAAGAACGAAAGUUAGGGGAUCGAAGACGAUCAGAUACCGUCGUAGUCUUAACCAUAAACUAUGCCGACUAGGGAUCGGAUGAUGUUAAUUUUUUAAUGACUCAUUCGGCGCCUUACG